ACAGUACUAGACAGACCAGACAGACCACACAGUACCAGGCAGACUAGACAGACCAGACAGACCAGACAGUACCAGGCAGACCAGACAGUACUAGACAGACCAGACAGACCAGACAGUACCAGGCAGACUAGACAGACCAGACAGACCAGACAGUACCAGGCAGACCAGACAGUACUAGACAGACCAGACAGACCAUACAGUACUAGACAGACCAGACAGACCAGACAGUACCAGACAGACUAGACAGGCCAGAGAGACUAGACAGACCAGACAGACCAUACAGUACCAGGCAGACUAGACAGUACUAGACAGACUAGACAGACCAGACAGACCAGACAGUACCAGACAGACUAGACAGACCAGACAGACCAGACAGUACCAGACAGACUAGACAGACCAGACAGACUAGACAGACCAGACAGACCAGACAGUACCAGACAGACUAGACAGGCCAGAGAGACGAGACAGACCAGACAGACCAUACAGUACCAGGCAGACUAGACAGUACUAGACAGACUAGACAGACCAGACAGACCAGACAGUACCAGACAGACUAGACAGACCAGACAGCCUAGACAGACCAGACAGUACCAGACAGACCAGACAGUACUAGACAGACCAUACAGUACUAGACAGACCAGACAGACUAGACAGACCAGACAGUACUAGACAGACCAUACAGUACCAGACAGACCAGACAGUACCAGACAGUACCAGACAGACCAGACAGUACCAGACAGUACUAGGCAGACCAGACAGUACCAGACAGUACUAGGCAGACCAGACAGACCAGACAGUACUAGGCAGUACCAGACAGUACCAGACAGACUAGACAGACCAGACAGACCAGACAGACCAGACAGUACCAGACAGUACCAGACAGACCAGACAGUACCAUACAGACCAGACAGAACAGACAGUACCAGACAGUACCAGGCAGACCAGACAGUACUAGACAGUACCAGACAGUACUAGACAGACCAGACAGAACAGACAGUACUAGACAGUACCAGACAGUACUAGGUAGACCAGACAGUACCAGACAGUACUAGACAGACCAGACAGACCAGACAGAACAGACAGUACCAGACAGUACCAGACAGUACUAGACAGUACCAGACAGACCAGACAGUACUAGGCAGACCAGACAGUACCAGACAGUACUAGACAGACCAGACAGACCAGACAGUACCAGACAGUACUAGACAGACCAGACAGACCAGACAGUACCAGACAGUACUAGACAGUACCAGACAGACCAGACAGACCAGACAGACCAGACAGUACUAGACAGUACCAGACAGUACUAGACAGAACAGACAGUACCAGACAGUACCAGACAGUACUAGACAGAACAGACAGUACCAGACAGUACUAGACAGAACAGACAGUACCAGACAGACCAGACAGUAUCAGACAGUACUAGACAGAACAGACAGACCAGACAGUACCAGACAGUACCAGACAGACCAGACAGUACCAGACAGUACCAGACAGACCAGACAGUACCAGACAGUACCAGACAGACCAGACAGUACCAGACAGUACUAGACAGAACAGACAUACCAGACAGUACCAGACAGUACCAGACAGUACCAGAAAGACCAGACAGUACCAGACAGUACCAGACAGUACCAGACAGAACAGACAGUACCAGACAGUACCAGACAGUACCAGAAAGACCAGACAGUACCAGACAGUACCAGACAGACCAGACAGUACUAGACAGACCAGACAGUACCAGAAAGACCAGACAGUACCAGACAGUACCAGACAGACCAGACAUACACACUGACUCCAGCAUCAUCCCCAGACUAUCUGGUAUGGUAUUAUAGCUAAUCUCCUUUUGCCAAGAGGCUCAGAGAAAAUACUACUGUUUAAGAGCUCAGGGAUUGCUGGGGGAAAAAAAAUGUGACAAUCUCUUUU
ensembl:lncRNA